CGUGUCUUCAAUUCCGUAGUGCAUUGCAGUGUUUGUAGCAGCAGUCUGCAAGCAGUGCGGAAGUGAGGAUUCGUC
rfam:Tribolium castaneum strain Georgia GA2 linkage group LG5, whole genome shotgun sequence.